rnacentral:rRNA from 1 species
GAGAACGUAUUCACGGCGAUGUUGCUGACUCGCCAUUACUAGCAAUUCCAUCUUCAUGUAGUCGAGUUGCAGACUACAAUCUGAACUGGGGCCGGCUUUGCGGAUUUGCUCUACCUCGCGGAUUUGCUUCCUUCUGUACCGACCAUUGUAGCACGUGUGUAGCCCCAGACAUAAGGGCCAUGCGGACUUGACGUCAUCCUCACCUUCCUCCUGGUUAACCCAGGCAGUCUUGCUAGAGUUCCCACCUUUACGUGUUGGCAACUAACAAUAAGGGUUGCGCUCGUUGCGGGACUUAACCCAACACCUCACGGCACGAGCUGACGACAGCCAUGCAGCACCUGUGCAGCGGCCCCGAAGGGAAAUGAUAUCUCUACCAUCGUCCACUGCAUGUCAAGUCUGG